rnacentral:rRNA from 1 species
UGCAGUCGACGCUUCUUUCCUCCCGAGUGCUUGCACUCAAUUGGAAAGAGGAGUGGCGGACGGGUGAGUAACACGUGGGUAACCUACCCAUCAGAGGGGGAUAACACUUGGAAACAGGUGCUAAUACCGCAUAACAGUUUAUGCCGCAUGGCAUAAGAGUGAAAGGCGCUUUCGGGUGUCGCUGAUGGAUGGACCCGCGGUGCAUUAGCUAGUUGGUGAGGUAACGGCUCACCAAGGCCACGAUGCAUAGCCGACCUGAGAGGGUGAUCGGCCACACUGGGACUGAGACACGGCCCAGACUCCUACGGGAGGCAGCAGUAGGGAAUCUUCGGCAAUGGACGAAAGUCUGACCGAGCAACGCCGCGUGAGUGAAGAAGGUUUUCGGAUCGUAAAACUCUGUUGUUAGAGAAGAACAAGGACGUUAGUAACUGAACGUCCCCUGACGGUAUCUAACCAGAAAGCCACGGCUAACUACGUGCCAGCAC